CAUGGCCUUUGCUAAUGUACCUCACCUGCUCCUUUGAAUUCAGCCAGGAAAUCUGCCCUGCUCUUCUCUCAGCAGCUUUUGCCUCUGCUGCAGACAGCUGUGGCUGCUCAGGAGCAGUUGCUGAGCUGCCAUAAAUUAGAGUUUCUUCUUUUUCCAGUAAGAAAGUAAUUGCAGGCAUGUUAUUAUUUUCUUCCCCCUCACAACAAGCAAACGUACAGUUUUCUCUCAUCUGUACUCCAGAACUUCAGUCAUUUGAGAAGGUGUCUGAAUUCUCAGCAACAAGGGAAAGCUGAGAAGAUGUGCAUUGUUUUGAUGCCUCAAAGGCUGCAGAGCUAUGAAAAGAAACCUCUUUGUCAAAGACAGGGAGUCACAGUGUUUCCAUGAGAGCUUAUCUAGCAUUGAAAGAACUGAGAAUAUGUGAGGAAUGAAUUGACACAGGAGAAGAAAGAUUGCCCCAAAAUACUGUUCUCAAUAAGGAAAUCCUCAUUGCUCUGCCUAGCUUUCUAUAUGCAUUAAGUUUGAAUCUUUACUGAAAUGUGUCGAGUGCAGAAUUGUUUUAAUAGGAGAAAAAUGUAUCCUGUUCUGUGGAUGCUAUUGGUCUGCAUGAAGAAAAACCUCAGGGCAUGGCAUAAAAUUGUGGAAGUCAAUAAUGACAAAUCUGUUUUCCUGUUCGGUGUUUUCAAAAAGUAUUUAUAAGGACAGAUGGUGGGCAGCAGCAGAACAUGUUCAGUUUUAUCAAGACAUUUGGCUAACAAGCACAGACUGAAAUACAUUUAUUUCCAUCUCAACUUAAUAAUUUUAAUUAGUGGCAAAAGGUGUGGUAGGCUCAUUGUCUAGAGGUGUAUGUGCAAUAUUGUCUUGGUUGGGCAGGACUGGGUGGGAGAGAAUAUUGCUGCCUCUAAUGAAGGGUGGUGCAUAUCUGUGCAAUCUCAGGUUUUUUUAUUGUCUGGUAAUCUAAAAAAUGCAAAUUCCAAAUGUGCUCUUGCACAACAUACACAAGGAUACACUGAGGUUACGCUUUCAGUUAGUCAGAGAACAAAAACAUGGCUACAAAACGUGUGCAAGUAAUACUGUGCCACUGUAGAAGAAAGGCUUUUUAGCAAGUGUUGGGACAUACAUUUAUUAUCUUGAGGGGAAGUUUUCAAAGCUACCUAUGUGACUUAGCGGUCUCUGGAACUCAUUCACUAUUCAAAUGCUUUUGAAAAUCUUACUUAUUAACAAGUCAUUUUGAACUUCGUAUAAUCUCUCUGUAAGGACAUCAAAGUGCUCUGGAAGUGGUAAUUAGGGAUCAUAUGCUUUAACCAGGUCUAAUGGUGUUCAUUUACCCUACUUAUCCCAGGCCAUAUUCUAGCUUUUUUGUAAAGUUGCUUGCACAGAUGCAUUUUGCCCUUUACCACCUCUCCAAGCCCCAACCCAGGAACUGCUUUUCCUGCUUCUGGGUGCUGCAGUGGGAGGCAUACCAGUACUGGGCUGGUCCCAAAAAGAAGCACUGAAAUGACAUCCAUGGCCUGAGCAGCCCUGGCAUGACAUUCCUGUGUAUCCCCUCUCUCAUGUAUGGGUUGUGGAAAUACUGAAAAUGCCUUCAUCUCACAAACAUCCUUUUGUUAAGACCUGUAUGCUUUUAAGAUUUUCUGUGAGAAGCUAAGCUGUCUUCUUGUUUUGCCAUCAUGGUCCUCAUUAAAAUGUCUGUCUGAUAUAGCUGCCACAAAGAGACGUCAUAGUACUUAUGCAGAGUACCUUCUAACUGUAUUCUGGGCUAUAUCAAAAGAAGUGUGACUGGCACGUUGAGGAAGGUGGUUCUGCCUCUCUACUCCACUCUCAUGAGAACCUGCCUGAAGUAUUGUGUUCAGGCCUGGAGACCUCAACAUAAGAAAAAAUGGACCUCUGGGGGAGGUCCAUGAAGAUGAUGAGAAAGAUAGGCCAGUUCUCCUAAGGGGAAAGGCUGAGAGUUGGGCUUGUUCAGCCUGGAGAAGAAAAGGCUCCAGGGAGACUUUAUAGCAGCCUUCUGGUACUAAGAAGGGGCCUACAUGAAGGCUGGAGAGGGCUUUUUAGAAGGGCAUGCAGUGAUAGAACAAGGAAGAAGGCCUCUAAACUGAAAGAGAGUAGGUUUAGAUUAGAUAUUAGGAAGAAAUUCUUCGCUGUGGGGGUGGUGAGGUACUUAAACAGGUUGCCCAGAGAAGCUGAGGAUGUCCCAUCCCUGGAAAUGUUCAAGGCCAGGGUGCUCUGAGCACCCUGGUUUAGUGGAAGGUGUCCCUGCCCACAUCACAGAUGAUCUUUAAGGUCCCUUCCAAUAUAAAUCACUCUCUGAUAAGAUUCUAAAUGUAAAUCUGCCUCUGAUUUAGUGAAAGCAUUUAUUUCCUGUGACAGCACACCAACAAAAUAAUUUAUAAGAUAUUAUUGAAUAUUUUCUCUUGCUGACUGAAGCUCACAUCUCACAAACUAUUUUGACUGUUAUCAGCCUUGUGGCUGUAAAAAGACAACACUUCUAUCAGUCAUUAUUUUACUGCCUUUUAGUUGGUACUGUUUAGAGGAAAGUUCAGUUUUCUGUGCAAAGCUACCAGAAUUAUGUCUCUUUAUGACUAGAAACUUGUGUUUGUGUCCCUUGUGAGUAUAAGUCUGUGAGAUUUGCAAGAAGUGGCAGGCUGCAUUUCGUCACUGCCCAGUGGGAACAAAUCCUCAGCAGGGAAGCACAGCCUGGAUGACCUUUGCUGCCUGGACUCUGCAUCUCAGGGCAGGAGCCUGAGCAAUAGGAGAUUCCCUGCACACUGUUCAAAUGGGAGAACUGAGGUUUUGUGCCCAUGCACAGCUCACAAAUUGCAUCAACUGCCUGGAAGGAUUAAUGUUCUCUUCCUUAUAGUCUCCCCAGCAAGUGAUAUAUGGCCCAAUAAACCAUAGUGGUUUGUUACAUAACACACACUUUCAAAUUUUAAGUACAUAGUUAGGUUUUGGCAAGGAGGAUUGAUAAAUUGCCUGGUUACUUGAUAUAUCAGAGUAGUGAAAGCAAAAUAAUCCAAUUUCCAUCACUUCUUCCUUCUGUCAUAGGCCUUUCUGAAAUUCAGGUACAUGAUCAAACCUGUGGAAAGAGGCAGCUACAUUUUUUUGUAAUGGCAGCUCUUUGAGAAGUGCCAGUCCUUGACACUGCAUAGACUAGAGGCAGCAAAGAAAUCAAGGCCAACCUCUAAAAAGAUACAUGAACAAUAUUCCUAAUAUAAAGCUGCUUGCAUUUACCAAACCAUAACACUACUGUGUGGCUUACCUGUGCUGGUUACCUAAGUUGUCAGAGAUCAGUUAUUACAGAAAACAAAGACAAAUCAGAGACUCUGAUAACUAAAUCUGAGAUUUUCAGUCUUGGUUUACUUUGCUUGUCUUGGGAGGAUAUUAUUUUAAAAAUGGCUGUAUAUUAACACAUGUGGAGACACAUGCUUUUCUCUGUUCAAAGUUUUUAGAUAAUAAACUCAGUGCCAUCAAGAUCCUUAGUCAAAGAACGUUCCUUUGUGAUCCUAGAUCAGCAAACCCUCACAGUUUACAGCAGAUGAGCUUCUCGUUCUCUGAGGAAUUACUAUGGCCUGGUGGAUGCAACUCCAGCAUUAAACUAGGUCUGAAAGUAGGCCUGAACUCCUCUCUAGUGUGCUAUCCCAUGGUCUGUCUUCCCUGAGAGGCACAGGGACAAUCUGUGAAAAAAGGGAUUUGAUUUGUGACUUAUUUCUGCCUUCUUCUGGCUCUGAACUCAAGGAGAGCAGAGCUGGGGGGGUCUCCAAUAAACUGUGCCACAGUUCUGGGAACCUCACAAUUAUUAACAUAUAAAAAGGACAAUUAUUUUGAACUAUGUGUCUGUUGGUUACAUUUGAUUAGAAGACUAGGUCAAUGUGUUAGAACAAUUUAGAUUUCAAUAAUAUAAUAUCAUUUCAUGUUUUAUAAUGCUUAUAGUGCCUAUAACGCAAUUUUUUUGGGAUGGAAAGCUGUUUUACAGCUGUUUUAUAGUCUAUGUUUCACGGUUCUUCUAUUUGUAACUGCUUAAAAGUCAUUCUAAUACAUAAAAGAGUAAUGGUAGAUAUUAGUGUAGACAUCUGAGUUCUAGAUAAUAAAAACCCCUGUUCAAGUGCAAUACAUUGCUCUUAAUUGAGGAAGUGUUCUUGAUGUAAAGACCCCUGGAUGCAUGACUCUUGACAAGGGCAAACUCUGCACAAUACGUUUUCUACAUGAUUUGAAAGCCUUCUUCUGUAAACAGGUAACUUUACAUUGCUCCUACAGGCAGACCAACACAUGCAUGGAGGUUUGUAGAUCUGAUCUGAAACAGCACACCUGGAACUACUCCACUGCCUUGAGAGGAGCUCCUUAGGCUUACAUGUGGUGAGCUGCUGGCUCUGAGCAUCCAGCGUGGUUCAUGUGAUUAGUCUAAGAUGAAAAUGUAGAUUUUACUGACGUACAAGAAUAGGAAGGAUGUAUUUCUAGAGGGUGUGUCUGAUCAGUUACAUUUCAUAGAUGUUGUGUACUGUUUUUUGCAAAGAAGAGAAAUGCUUUGCUAGUAACAAACUUGUCUCACCCCAUCUAAUCACCUGGAAUAAAAGCUGCUGAAAACAAAUUUGCUCGAAUUUGUAUGUCAGAGUAUCAACACAAACCUUAACCUUUCCUGAGAAU